AUUUUGCACAAUGGGCGCAAGCCUGAUGCAGCAACGCCGCGUGAGUGAAGAAGGCCCUUGGGUUGUAAAGCUCUUUCGGCUGGAAAGAAGGGCUCUACGGUAAAUAAUCGUAGGGUUUGACGGUACCAGAAGAAGAAGCACCUGCUAACUUCGUGCCAGCAGCAGCGGUAAUACGUAGGGUGCAAGCGUUGUUCGGAAUUACUGGGCGUAAAGCGCGCGUAGGCGGGUCCGUAAGUCGAUUGUGAAAGCCCAGAGCUUAACUCUGGAAUUGCAGUCGAUACUGCGGAUCUUGAAUGCCUGAGAGGAUGGCGGAAUUCCCGGUGUAGAAGUGAAAUUCGUAGAUAUCGGGAAGAACACCUGAGGCGAAGGCGGCUAUCUGGCGGUGCAUUGACGCUGAGGCGCGAAAGCGUGGGGAGCAAACAGG
rnacentral:rRNA from 1 species